UCGAGAGCAAUGAUCAAGCGCAGUAGAGACUAGCAUCGGAGCAAAAAGAGAAUUGUCGGUAGGUGCAAGACAAUCCAACCUAGAAUCGAAGUACACUUGAGAGCAAACUGUGACAAACAGCGUCUAUCCGCGAUAAGGAUUUGAGAGGUAGUUUUUAACUACAAUAUGGGUGGUAACACGGCAAAGUCGUCCCUAAU
rnacentral:ncRNA from 1 species